rnacentral:rRNA from 1 species
UACGGGAGGCAGCAGUGGGGAAUAUUGCACAAUGGGCGCAAGCCUGAUGCAGCCAUGCCGCGUGUAUGAAGAAGGCCUUCGGGUUGUAAAGUACUUUCAGUCGUGAGGAAGGUGUUAAGGUUAAUAACCUUAGCAAUUGACGUUAGCGACAGAAGAAGCACCGGCUAACUCCGUGCCAGCAGCCGCGGUAAUACGGAGGGUGCGAGCGUUAAUCGGAAUUACUGGGCGUAAAGGGCACGCAGGCGGUUAAUUAAGUUGGAUGUGAAAUCCCCGGGCUUAACCUGGGAAUGGCAUUCAAGACUGGUUAGCUAGAGUCUUGUAGAGGGGGUUAGAAUUCCAUGUGUAGCGGUGAAAUGCGUAGAGAUGUGGAGGAAUACCGGUGGCGAAGGCGGCCCCUGGACAAAGGACUGACGCUCAUGUGCGAAAGCGUGGGGAGCAAACGAGGGAUUAGAUA